rnacentral:rRNA from 1 species
CCUACGGGGGGCAGCAGUGGGGAAUUUUGCACAAUGGACGCAAGUCUGAUGCAGCAACACUGCGUGAAGGAUGAAGGUUUUCGGAUCGUAAACUUCUUUUAUCUGGGAAUAAUCUUGAAGGUACCAGAUGAAUAAGCACCGGCUAACUACGUGCCAGCAGCCGCGGUAAUACGUAGGGUGCGAACGUUAUCCGGAUUUACUGGGCGUAAAGAGCUCGUAGGUGGCGUGACAAGUUGGAUAUUAAAUACUCCGGCUCAACUGGAGGCCUGUAUCCAAAACUGUCAUGCUAGAGGUGUGUAGGGGAGAAUGGAACUUACAGUGUAGCAGUGAAAUGCGUAGAUAUUGUAAGGAACGCCAAUGGUGAAGACAGUUCUCUGGACACCACCUGACACUGAGGAGCGAAAGCGUGGGUAGCGAACGGGCUUAGAUACCCCUGUAGUC